GGGUCUUUGGCUUGGGGGAGGUUUGGAGAAGGAGAGGGACAAGCAGCAUAAGGGAACAGGGCUUGACCAGCCCCAAUUGACAGGGAAAGGUGCUGAAACUGGAGGAGAGCUGGGCAAGAGGCCAGAGGGCGGCCGGGGGCAGUGGUGGUAGGGCUUUGGAGGUGAAGUGUGGAGUGUUGUUCUCAUGACUUUGGGGGAGAGUGGGGCCCGAGGGGCUUUCGAGGAGCUGUUCUCAGGUGACAAGGCCUUUAAAGGACAGAGUUUUAAAUUAUAGGAAGAAAGAUUCAGCAAAAGAGUGAACUGUUCUCACUUUCAGAUGUUAGGCAGUUCAAGGCCAGCCUCAAUUACAGGGUCUUAUGAAUGAAACCAUGGCUACAGAUUCUCCUAGAAGACCCAGUCGCUGCACUGGUGGAG
rnacentral:lncRNA from 1 species